UUGGAGCCCCAGAGACCUUUAAGUUGUAGCAGAACUAAGUGGCAGUUUGAAUUGAAACAAUUGGAAUUGAAAAGUUAUUAUGAACAAACUGGUCAUGCAUACAUUGGUUCCUGGAACAGGCUAAACAUAAGGUGUUCUAUAAGAAAUAUUUCCUUCUGUACCCGGGCCCGGUACUUUCCAUUGCCCCUGUCCUCAUCCCCCGCCCUGCCUAAACUGCUUUAUAAAAAUAAGACCUUGCUAGCUAAUAAACGAAGCCUUGACGCAACUCAGACUGACUCUUUCUUUACGCGCUUGGCUUCCACUUCUCUCUCCCCCCGUUUGACUCCUACAGGUGACACCCGCUCGAGACCCAGUAAAUAACCUGGCCUGCUGGACGGGUCAAGUGGCGCCCAACGUGGGGCUCGAGAAGCAGUGGGCACAGGACAACCUGAAGCAGCAAGACUGACCGGUCGAUUGGGUACAGAUCGUCUGCAUCGCUCGUGCAGCGACUGGAGGAGCGGCCCGAUAGAGGAUGCAAAGGAUCCUGUUUGGAGACAUCAGCUUUUUAGAUGGAACACUCAUCCUGAUAUUAAUAGUCGUGGUGGUGCUCUGCUGCUGCUGGUGGCUGCGAUGUCAUGUGCCCGGAGAAAAACGCACCUGUUGCUGCUGAGAUGCUUUGGAUAGGAUUGGUAAUAUCUAUCUUCUUGAGCACCCAAGCCAAAACGUCUGCCUUGACCCGCUGAUUAAACAACUGAGGCCAACAA